GAUGAACGCUGGCGGCGUGCCUAAUACAUGCAAGUCGAGCGAACAGACGAGGAGCUUACUCCUCUGACGUUAGCGGCGGACGGGUGAGUAACACGUGGAUAACCUACCUAUAAGACUGGGAUAACUUCGGGAAACCGGAGCUAAUACCGGAUAACAUGUUGAACCGCAUGGUUCAACAGUGAAAGACGGUCUUGCUGUCACUUAUAGAUGGAUCCGCGUCGCAUUAGCUAGUUGGUAAGGUAACGGCUUACCAAGGCAACGAUGCGUAGCCGACCUGAGAGGGUGAUCGGCCACACUGGAACUGAGACACGGUCCAGACUCCUACGGGAGGCAGCAGUAGGGAAUCUUCCGCAAUGGGCGAAAGCUUGACGGAGCAACGCCGCGUGAGUGAUGAAGGUCUUCGGAUCGUAAAACUCUGUUAUUAGGGAAGAACAAAUGUGUAAGUAACUAUGCACGUCUUGACGGUACCUAAUCAGAAAGCCACGGCUAACUACGUG
rnacentral:rRNA from 1 species